CGCGUCCCGCUCCCCCGCAGCUCUGCCCCACCGCGCACCCGCCGCCGCAAUCCGCGCCCGCAUCCCAUGCACCAUCCCCGUGCGGCCCCUUCGCCGUGAUGCUCGCCCACGCAUGAUAGAAGGCACGCCGCAUCUCGAUUCUCACCAACCCCGCCCCGCCACCGCAAUCUUCGCCUCUCGCUGACUUCGAUGGAAGGCGUACCGCUCGCCCUCACCUGCCCGCGACGCUCACUCCUCCCCAUUGCUGGGGCCAGUGUAGGAGAAGAGGACGGAGGUUAGCAGAUCUCGUUGCGCUUCCAUCGAACGACGACAUUCACAGGAGGAGCGGUACCUGUUUGCCUAUGCGAACGACGACGUAGGGAUAGCUGGAUCAGAGGUCGCGGACGACGAGGUUCACCCCCCUCACCACGUGCAGCUUCAGCAGCCCAACGAGAUGGUCCAGCAUGGUGAUUUCCCUCUUCUUCACCACUGAGUUCUCUCUUCUCUGACUACUAUAUAUUCAUCCAAGCAGAUCUCGUCGCGCUGGUGGAGAUGGCCGAAGCCGCGGAGUGCGAGGAGGAGCAGGACCUGUUUGCCGAUGCGAAUGACGACGUAGGGAUCGCUGGAUCGGAGGUCGCGGACGGCGAGGUUCACCCCCCUCACCACGCGCAGCUUCAGCAGCCCGACGAGAUGGUCCAGCAUGGAAAUGAACUUCCAUCAGACUUGAUAGACACACUACUAAAGUGGAUCCCAAGCAAUGAUGAGGAGCUUAGGCUUCGACUGUCCUCCCGUAGCACCGCCACACCGCACGCGUCCGUGGCGGCGUCCGCCUCGGCGCCGGUCUCGCACACCGCUCCCUGGCUGGGGAAGUUCAUCGCCUCCGAGCCCUUCAACGUGGGGGGAUUCGACUGGGCGAUCUACUUCUACCCCGAUGGGAAGAGCGGCGAGGAUGGUAUGUUGAAGUGACAUGCUCUGAACUGCUCUUGGCUUCAGGCAGUCAGGCGGGAUAACAAGCAGAGGUUUAGUCUGUUGGAGGAAGAUGGCGAGCUGUUGAUCCGGGCGAACCAGGGACACACAGUAAUACUAAAAAAUAUAGUCUGGAGGUGACCUCAAUCUUAUUGGACAGAAUACUCUCUUAUGAGACAAAGUUGCAUAAGCCCAUCAAAUUUUGCAGUAAUCAGUUCCUUGAGUUCAUGUGCAGGUUUGAAACUUUUAACUGCUGGUCAGCAAGUGCAUUGUGAUGCUGUUAAGUGGGGUCUAGAUUUAGAUACUUCUGUUUCAAAUGUACUGGUUAAAAUGUAUGGGGAAUGUGGAGCUAUGUCAGAUUACUGGAAGGUUUUCAACUCAAUGGCUGAACACGAUGAAGUUUCUUGGAACACUAUGAUGGGUGUCAUGGCCAGUUCACAAACACCUAUUUCUGAAAUUGUCAAAGUUUUCAACAAUAUGAUGAGGGGUGGUUUGAUACCAAAUAAAGUAACAUUUAUAAACUUACUUGCUGCUUUGUCUCCACUGUCCGUUCUUGAAGACAAUGUGGUAGAUAAUGCACUCAUAUCAUGCUAUGCAAAAUCAGGAGAUAUGGAUUCCUGUGAGCAUCUGUUUACUAACAUGUCUGACAGAAGGGAUGCCAUCUCGUGGAAUUCUAUGAUUUCAGGUUACAUCUACAAUGGCAAUCUACAGGAGGCUAUGGAUUGUGUAUGGCUUAUGAUACACAGUGGCCAAAUCAUGGAUUGUUGCACUUUCUCCAUUAUACUCAAUGCAUGUGCUUCUGUGGCAGCAUUGGAGCGUGGAAUGGAGUUGCACGCUUUUGGUAUUAGGUCACACUUGGAAUCAGAUGUCGUGGUUGAGAGUGCUCUUGUUGAUAUGUACUCCAAGUGUGGUAGGGUGGAUUAUGCCUCUAAGCUUUUCAAUUCUAUGACUCAGAGAAAUGAAUUUUCAUGGAAUUCUAUGAUUUAUGGUUAUGCAAGACAUGGUCUUGGAAGGAAAGCCAUUGAGAUAUUUGAGGAAAUGCUGCGCAGCAGAGAGAGUCCAGACCAUGUCACUUUUGUCAUUGUCCUAUCUGCCUGCAUUCAUGCUGGAUUGGUGGAAAGAGGUUUAGAAUACUUCGAAAUGAUGCCGGAUCAUGGUAUACUACCACAGAUUGAACAUUAUUCUUGUGUCAUAGACCUUCUCGGUCGAGCUUGUAAGAUUGACAAGAUAAAGGAGUACAUUCAAAGAAUGCCAAUUGAACCUAACGCUCUCAUAUGGAGGACUUGUCAUCUUUCCACUUUCGUCCAAUUAUUUUGAGACAAAUAUGUUAACUUGAUGCUCAUGCCUAUAGACAUUGUUCAAGCCGGUACAUUUACAUGAUUGGGGCUUCAGAUGUUAAACUCGACAAAAAGUUGGUUACAAAAUAUAUUGGAUAUAAAUUAUUUUGGCAUAAUGUUUUGAUGUCCAGGUUGCUUUUCUUCACUACUAUAAUAGUAGGGGUCACGGGUAGCUGCAUAUAAUUUUUAGUUCACACUUAGGAAAUAUAUGUAUAUUUAGAAAUUUUCAAACAUUAAAUGUCACAACAUUCUUAAUGUUUUAAGUAUUAGUUAAUAGUUAUCAUUUUUCU